CCUGGUUGAUCCUGCCAGUAGUCAUAUGCUUGUCUCAAAGAUUAAGCCAUGCAUGUCUAAGUAUAAACACUUUUAUACACGUGAAACUGCGAAUGGCUCAUUAAAACAGUUAUAGUUCCUUUGAGAACCACACUACUUGGAUAACCGUAGUAAUUCUAGAGCUAAUACAUGCCGCAACGCCCGACUCACGAAGGGUGGUAUUUAUUGGAUAAAAAACCAUCGUGCUCCUUCCAGAGCGCUUUGAGAUGAUUCACAAUAACUUGUCGGAUCGCAUGGCCUUGUGCUGGCGACUGCUCAUUCAAAUUUCUGCCCUAUCAACUUUCGAUGGUAGAGUAUUGGUCUACCAUGGUGUCGACGGGUAACGGGGAAUUAGGGUUCGAUUCCGGAGAGGGAGCCUGAGAAACGGCUACCACAUCCAAGGAAGGCAGCAGGCGCGCAAAUUACCCAAUCCCGACUCGGGGAGGUAGUGACAAAAAAUAACAAUAGGGGGCCCUUUGGGCCUUCUAAUUGGAAUGAGAACAAUUUAAAUCCCUUAUCGAGGAUCCAUUGGAGGGCAAGUCUGGUGCCAGCAGCCGCGGUAAUUCCAGCUCCAAUAGCGUAUAUUAAAGUUGUUGCAGUUAAAACGCUCGUAGUCGGACCUCGGAGCGCCCUCACGGGCCGGGCUUCUGCCCUUGUGCCAGUGGGAGUUUGUCUCCUUUUGUCGGGACGCGGUGUGUGGGGCCUUGACUGGUUCCGCGCGUUUAUACCUGCGGGCCGACCGUUUACUGUGAAGAAAGUAAAGUGUUCAAAGCAGGCCAAUGCCUUGAAUAUGUGAGCAUGGAAUAAUAGAAUAGGACUUGGGCUCUAUUUUGUUGGUUUCCAGUGACCAAGUAAUGAUUAAUAGGGAUGGUUGGGGGCAUUCGUAUUUCAUUGUCAGAGGUGAAAUUCUUGGAUUGAUGGAAGACGUACAACUGCGAAAGCAUCUGCCAUGGAUGUUUUCAUUGAUCAAGAACGAAAGUUAGGGGAUCGAAGACGAUCAGAUACCGUCGUAGUCUUAACCAUAAACGAUGCCGACUGGGGAUUGGCGGGGCUUCUAAUUCAUGUCCACGUCAGCACCCUAAGGGAAACCAAAGUCUUUGGGUUCUGGGGGGAGUAUGGUCGCAAGGCUGAAACUUAAAGGAAUUGACGGAAGGGCACCACCAGGAGUGGAGCCUGCGGCUUAAUUUGACCCAACACGGGAAAACUUACCAGGUCCGGACAGAAAGACUGAAAGUCUUUCUUGAUUUUUUGGUUGGUGGUGCAUGGCCGUUCUGUAUCUGACUACCAUAUACGAUAAUAGCCUCCGCAUAGCAUUCGUCAAUGAGAUUACUGAGAGAUCUCAUUGUUCUAAUGAGAGUCAGAUAUGUGAGUAUAUACCAUAGAAACAGAUUAUACAUAGAGAAGCUGUAGGAGCCAGUUCGAUGUACCACGGGCGGGAUGAGUCAUAUGCUGAACAAACUCUGAUAGGGAUAGAUCACUGCUGAGAUAGGGAAGCGAGUCUACACCACCUAGCCGUGACCACUCUAUAAGAGCUUGACUAUUGGUGAUGCACACACACUACAGGCAAAAGAUUGAAGUGAGACCAAUGAAGAUAACAGUCCUGUGAGAGAUGUUCCUGCCGCAGCGCGCUCACUGAUGCAUUCAACGAGUUUUCAAACUUAUGAGUCCCUGGUCCGCGUCAUGACGACGACCCGAGUCUGAUUGCCAUAGUACAUCGGGCGCUGGGGCUCUAAAGCAUUCUACGAUGUAGGUAAAAGUAAGGCCCAGGU
rnacentral:rRNA from 1 species